AACAAACGGCAGGCCCUCUGUGUGCUAUUUCAGCGAGUCGGAGAAGUGCUCCUCCACCACUCUCCCCAGCCAUGCGCCAGCUUCAGAAGAUGCACGUUAGGCCAGCGGUCAUCACCUGAACAGAGCAGUGCAUGAAGCUGGAAGGGAAGCAGCUGCUUACAAGCUCUGGAGAGAUGGCAUGUGCAGCACUCGACAUACUCAUGGUACUUCCUUGAAGAUGAGCCCCUGACCUGGAGCUGAAGCCGUUGGCACCCAAAGAGUUCUGCCCAGAUGUGUGCCCGCCUUCUGCUCAGAGCAGCAGAGCCGAUGAAACACACACUGCACAGCAGCUUGCGAUGCAUGGGAAAGGCUGGACGGGCUGGAGCAGCUCCUCCGAGCUCCUGGUGUACAACAGCACAAAAUGCAAUUGGUCAGAGCGUGAUCAGACUCGCAUAGUUGGAAUACCAAAGGAGCGAGUCACCUUCCACUCUCGCUGUAGCCAGCGUUAGGAAGAGAUGUCCAGGUCUGCAACAGACUGUUUUCUCCUUUUGUUUGGAUGUGAAGGGUUCUGUUCUUCACAGAAGCAGGAACAGACCCCCCACUCAUUGAUUUGCAUCCAGGAAACGGAAGGUAACUGAUAUCAGGGAGACGGACGAGGUGAUUGUAUCCAUGACAACCAGCAGAUACAGCCUUGCUGCCUGGCAGCCCUUCCCUGGUCACCUCCUCUGCCUUCCCAGCUCCAGUGGGUCCCUCUCCUCGAGGCACCUCUUGGUGCAGUUCAGUGUUCCUGAGAAGUAGCUGACAAAUUCCCAAAUGUAGUGUGGCGAGAGCUUAAUCAGUUCUCAUGUCCAUCAGCAGAACGCUUCCCCAAUCUGAGCUGCAUCUGCUUCUGCCAAGGACUCCCUGGCAGCCCCAAAGGUGGCUUCAGGAAAUCCGGUCCAUGGAGGAACAGCAUGACUUGCAGGAGCACUGCACAGAUGCAGGUUGGGCUCAGAACCAGCAGGCAAAAUACAGCAUGCAGCCUGAAAGCAUUUCAGGUAUGCCAACCACCUUAACAAAUGCAGGAAUCAGUGAAUCGAGCAAGGCAGCAGGAUGCUCGCCUCUGCUGGAAGCGCUGGCAGAAGUUAAAUGUGUUGUUCUCUGAGCAGAGCUUCAAUCUGCACAUGUCCUUCUGGGAGGAGAGCUGCCUGCACUGCAGUCCCCGAGGAGUUCCUCACCCCACACCUGCUGGAGUGUCCCUCCUGCAUUCCAGACCUGCCCUGGAGAACGCUGCCACGUGAGGCAGUGCACAGCAGUGAGGAAUGGAAAGAAAUCUGUCACAAAAGGAAAAAGCAAUUCUGCUGCUGAAUCCAGCCAGAGCUCCUUGUUUGCAGGACUCCUGCUGUAUAUCGUCAGUGUGGUGUUUGAACCAUAAUAAGGAAAAAUGUCUCCCUGGGAUCAAAAAAAAAAAAAGUUGAUUUCUCAUCUCUUCCUCUGCACUGGAAAAACAAAGCAGAAGAGGUGAGGAAAUGAGAGCCUGAACUGAGAGCUGGGCGUUAGAAGACAGGACGUGGAGUUCAAGUUCUGUCCUGAUGAGCUAUUGAAAACAUGACUCAGUUUCCCUAUUAGUGAUGGGGUUAACAACGAGCUGAUGAGUGAAUCUUAAAAAUGCAAAGAAGGUUGCUGUAAACUCUAAUUAAAGGCCCUCUGAGUGUAU
rnacentral:lncRNA from 7 species